UGGGGUUAUGGCUCAGUGGUACAGUGCUCGCCUAGCACACGAGGGCACUGGGUUCAAUCCUCAGCACCACAA
rnacentral:tRNA from 1 species